UCCCUGGUGGCUCAGUGGUAAAGAAUCUGCCUGAAAAUGCAGGAGACAUGGGUUCAAUUCCUGAUCUGGGAA
rnacentral:tRNA from 1 species